UCUUCCUACGGGGGGCAGCAGUGGGGAAUAUUGGGCAAUGGGCGCAAGCCUGACCCAGCAACGCCGCGUGAAGGAAGAAGGCCCUCGGGUUGUAAACUUCUUUUAACAGGGACGAAGAAAGAGACGGUACCUGUUGAAUAAGCCACGGCUAACUACGUGCCAGCAGCCGCGGUAAUACGUAGGUGGCAAGCGUUAUCCAGAUUUACUGGGUGUAAAGGGCGUGUAGGCGGGAGAGCAAGUCAGACGUGAAAUUUCAGGGCUCAACCCUGG
rnacentral:rRNA from 1 species